rnacentral:tRNA from 1 species
GGAUUUUUAGUUUAAGUUUGAAUGUCUCUUUUACACGGAGGAGGUUGAUAGAUCUU